GGGAGUCUGAGGAGGCGGCUCUUCCACGCAUUAUAAUAUCCAUAAAGUAAAUGCAAAUUAACCAAAAGCACCUUCUGAAUAAGCAGCUUUUAUUGAGGGAGCUGCUCUAAUCCCUAAAUGGCUUUAUUGACCGAGAGGAGCUUCCUAGCGGGGGAGGGGGUGGGAAAUGUGCACGCACUGUCAGGAAUGGCUCCGCAGCGCCCUUGUCCCAGUGCUUUUAGAUUCCAGACAUGCUUCUUGUGGCUAAUGGAACUUGCAGAUCUCUAACCUCGGCUUCUACAUUCCGCUCCCCUCCCCCACCGGAGUCUGGGGAGCCUGGCUUCUGCGUCUGCAGGAGGCUGAGGCUGCUCGAUGCCGCAUCGCUGGUCCGGAUGAUGAGGGAAUUGGGGACGCAGCAGCAGGCUGGGGAGCUGGCGGCCCAGACCACAACAGGAGCAGCUUGUGGUGUUCUGUUCCAGCAGAUUGGAGAGAGUUUCCCAUGGCUCAGACCCGAGGCUGAGGAGCCAGGAUGGGAAAAGCAAGAAAGAGGAGGCCCCCAAGCUCUUGGCCAGCCAGCCAGCUUAUUGGUAGCCUGGAAUACAGAUGCCUGUAUGAGCUCUCCCUGCCUGGAAGGAGUAAAGUCAGCAUUAUCCAGACUUGUGAUACUGAUGGCUCUUAGGGAAUCACUCAGUGCUGGUGUUCUCGUUAGAGGUGUUCAACCUGUCUUAGCCCCUGAAAUUCCAAGAAAUGAGGAGAAGGUGAGCCUGAACCAGUCGCUGGCACUUGUUGGCUCCCUUCAUGCCUUUUUUUUUUUUUAAAGAUUUUAUUUAU
rnacentral:lncRNA from 1 species